AUUGAACGCUGGCGGCAUGCUUUACACAUGCAAGUCGAGCGGCAGCGCGGGGGCAACCCUGGCGGCGAGCGGCGAACGGGUGAGUAAUACAUCGGAACGUACCCAGGAGUGGGGGAUAGCCCGGCGAAAGCCGGAUUAAUACCGCAUACGAUCUUAGGAUGAAAGUGGGGGACCGCAAGGCCUCACGCUUUUGGAGCGGCCGAUGUCCGAUUAGCUAGUUGGUGGGGUAAAGGCCACCAAGGCGACGAUCGGUAGCUGGUCUGAGAGGAUGAUCAGCCACACGGGGACUGAGACACGGCCCCGACUCCUACGGGAGGCAGCAGCAAGGAAUUUUCCGCAAUGGGGGCAACCCUGACGGAGCAACGCCGCGUGACGGAUGACGCCUCUUGGGGUGUAAACGUCUUUUGCCGGGGAGAGAACGGACGGUACCCGGCGAAUCAGGACCGGCUAACUACGUGCCAGCAGCCGCCGCCGUAAC
rnacentral:rRNA from 1 species